GCACUGCUGAGGAAUCCCAUAAUAGGACGAAACAACCGUCCAGUGU
rnacentral:hammerhead_ribozyme from 1 species